rnacentral:lncRNA from 1 species
GAAAAUUUUGAAGUGGUUGAUAUUACUGCCGUUGUUUACGAUACAGUUCAUGUAAAUUCACAACACUGAUUAGACCCAUGGCCAUAGGCUAGUAGGGAGUCUAACGGAAAAAAAUUAUAUAAGCACAAUAUCAACUUGU